rnacentral:rRNA from 1 species
CCUACGGGAGGCAGCAGUGGGGAAUAUUGGGCAAUGGAGGCAACUCUGACCCAGCAACGCCGCGUGAAUGAUGAAGGUCUUCGGAUUGUAAAGUUCUGUGAUGGGGGAUGAACACAAUGACGGUACCCCAAUAGCAAGCCACGGUUAACUACGUGCCAGCAGCCGCGGUAAUACGUAGGUGGCAAGCGUUAUCCGGAAUGACUGGGCGGAAGGGGUGCGUAGGUGGUUUAGUAAGUUGGCGGUGUAAUUCCGGGGCUCAACCUCGGCGCUACCGCCAAAACUAUUAGGCUAGAGUGCAGGAGGGGUAAGUGGAAUUCCUAGUGUAGCGGUGGAAUGCGUAGAUAUUAGGAGGAACAUCAGGGGCGAAGGCGACUUACUGGACUGUAACUGACGCUGAGGCACGAAAGCGUGGGGAGCAAACAGGAUUAGAUACCCUAGUAGUC